UACGUAGGGGGCGAGCGUUGUCCGGAUUUAUUGGGCGUAAAGAGCUCGUAGGCGGUUUGGCAAGUCGGGUGUGAAAACUCCGGGCUCAACUCGGAGACGCCACUCGAUACUGCUAUGACUCGAGUCCGGUAGGGGAGUGCGGAAUUCCUGGUGUAGCGGUGAAAUGCGUAGAUAUCUGGAGGAACACCGGUGGCGAAGGCGGCAUCCUGGACCGAUACUGACGCUGAGGAGCGAAAGCCAGGGGAGCAAACGGG
rnacentral:rRNA from 1 species